AAUCCGUUGACCUUACAAAGUCGUGDGGUUCAAGUCCCUCUAUCCCCA
rnacentral:tRNA from 1 species